CCUACGGGUGGCAGCAGUGAGGGAUAUUGGACAAUGGAGGGAACCCUGAUCCAGCGACGCCGCGUGAGGGAAGAAGGAUUUCGGAAUGUAAAGCUCUGUUAGAAGGGAAGAAAGAAGUGAUGGUACCCGAGCAAGAAGCCACGGCUAACUACGGGCCAGCAGCCGCGGUAAUACGUAGGGGGCAAGCGUUCUCCGGAAUUACUGGGUGUAAAGGGAGCGUAGGUGGUUUUGUAAGUUAGGUGGGAAAGGCCGGGGCUCAACCCCGGGACUGCAUGGGAAACUGGUGAACUUGAGUGCAGGAGAGGUAAGCGGAAUUCCUAGUGUAGCGGUGAAAUGCUUAGAUAUUAGGAAGAACACCAGUGGCGAAGGCGGCUUACUGGACUGUAACUGACGCUGAGGCUCGAAAGCGUGGGGAGCGAACAGGAUUAGAUACCCUAGUAGUC
rnacentral:rRNA from 1 species